rnacentral:rRNA from 1 species
GGUCAAGCGAAUAAGCGCACACGGUGGAUGCCUUGGCGGUCAGAGGCGAUGAAGGACGUGGCAGCCUGCGAAAAGUGUCGGGGAGCUGGCAACAAGCUUUGAUCCGGCAAUGUCCGAAUGGGGAAACCCACUGCUUCGGCAGUAUCCUGCAGUGAAUUCAUAGCUGCUGGAAGCGAACCCGGUGAACUGAAAUAUCUAAGUAACCGGAGGAAAAGAAAUCAACCGAGAUUCCCUAAGUAGUGACGAGCGAACGGGGACUAGCCCUUAAGCUGGUAUGGUUUUAGAAAAACAACCUGGAAAGGUUGGCCAUAGAAGGUGAUAGCCCUGUAUUUAAAAGGGCCAUACCAGUGAAGACGAGUAGGGCGGGGCACGUGAAACCCUGUCUGAACAUGGGGGGACCAUCCUCCAAGGCUAAAUACUCCUGACCGACCGAUAGUGAACCAGUACCGUGAGGGAAAGGCGAAAAGAACCCCGGAGAGGGGAGUGAAAUAGAUCCUGAAACCGUGUGCGUACAAGCAGUAGGAGCUCGUAAGAGUGACUGCGUACCUUUUGUAUAAUGGGUCAGCGACUUACUGUUCGUGGCAAGCUUAACCGUAUAGGGGAGGCGAAGGGAAACCGAGUCUGAUAAGGGCGCAUAGUCGCGGGCAGUAGACCCGAAACCGGGUGAUCUAGUCAUGCCCAGGGUGAAGGUCAGGUAACACUGACUGGAGGCCCGAACCCACUCCCGUUGCAAAGGUAGGGGAUGAGGUGUGAUUAGGAGUGAAAAGCUAAUCGAACCCGGAGAUAGCUGGUUCUCCUCGAAAGCUAUUUAGGUAGCGCCUCAUAUGUAUCCUCUCGGGGGUAGAGCACUGUUAUGGCUAGGGGGUCAUCGCGACUUACCAAACCAUUGCAAACUCCGAAUACCGAGACGGACUGUAUGGGAGACACACGGCGGGUGCUAACGUCCGUCGUGAAAAGGGAAACAACCCAGACCCACAGCUAAGGUCCCAAAUUCACUGCUAAGUGGAAAACGAUGUGGAAAGGCAUAGACAGCCAGGAGGUUGGCUUAGAAGCAGCCACCCUUUAAAGAAAGCGUAAUAGCUCACUGGUCGAGUCGGUCUGCGCGGAAGAUUUAACGGGGCUAAGCAGUGAACCGAAGCUUGGGGUGCAUCGCGUUAAGCGAUGCGCGGUAGAGGAGCGUUCCGUAAGCCUGCGAAGGUGGAUUGAGAAGUCUGCUGGAGGUAUCGGAAGUGCGAAUGCUGACAUGAGUAACGAUAAUGCGGGUGAAAAACCCGCACGCCGAAAGCCCAAGGUUUCCUUGCGCAACGUUAAUCGGCGCAGGGUGAGUCGGCCCCUAAGGCGAGGGCGAAAGCCGUAGUCGAUGGGAAGCAGGUUAAUAUUCCUGCACCUCGCGUAAGUGCGAUGGAGGGACGGAGAAGGUUAGGUGUACCGGGCGUUGGUUGUCCCGGGGAAAGGCGGUAGGUUUGGAUCCUUGGCAAAUCCGGGGUCCUUUAAGACCGAGCACCGAGACGAGUCUUUGAGACGAAGUCACUGAUACCACGCUUCCAGGAAAAGCUCCUAAGCUUCAGCUUACGCAGACCGUACCGUAAACCGACACAGGUGGGUAGGAUGAGAAUUCUCAGGCGCUUGAGAGAACUCGGGUGAAGGAACUAGGCAACAUGGCACCGUAACUUCGGGAGAAGGUGCACCCUUUUUGGUGGCUCGUGCGAGCUAUAGCUGAAGAGGGUCGCAGAAACCAGGCCGCUGCGACUGUUUAUCAAAAACACAGCACUCUGCAAACACGAAAGUGGACGUAUAGGGUGUGACGCCUGCCCGGUGCUGGAAGGUUAAUUGAUGGGGUCAGCCGCAAGGCGAAGCUCUUGAUCGAAGCCCCAGUAAACGGCGGCCGUAACUAUAACGGUCCUAAGGUAGCGAAAUUCCUUGUCGGGUAAGUUCCGACCUGCACGAAUGGCGUAACGACAGCGGCGCUGUCUCCACCCGAGACUCAGUGAAAUUGAAAUCGCUGUGAAGAUGCAGCGUUCCCGUGGCAAGACGGAAAGACCCCGUGAACCUUUACUAUAGCUUUACACUGAACGUUGAGUUCGUCUGUGUAGGAUAGGUGGGAGGCUAUGAAACCAUGGCGCUAGCUGUGGUGGAGCCAUCCUUGAAAUACCACCCUGUCGUGCUUGACGUUCUAACCUAGGUCCGUAAUCCGGAUCGGGGACCGUGUAUGGUGGGUAGUUUGACUGGGGCGGUCUCCUCCUAAAGAGUAACGGAGGAGCACGAAGGUACGCUCAGCGCGGUCGGACAUCGCGCACUGUGUGCAAAGGCAUAAGCGUGCUUGACUGCAAGAUCGACGGAUCAAGCAGGUACGAAAGUAGGUCUUAGUGAUCCGGUGGUUCUGUAUGGAAGGGCCAUCGCUCAACGGAUAAAAGGUACUCCGGGGAUAACAGGCUGAUACCGCCCAAGAGUUCAUAUCGACGGCGGUGUUUGGCACCUCGAUGUCGGCUCAUCACAUCCUGGGGCUGUAGUCGGUCCCAAGGGUAUGGCUGUUCGCCAUUUAAAGUGGUACGCGAGCUGGGUUCAGAACGUCGUGAGACAGUUCGGUCCCUAUCUGCCAUGGGCGUUGGAGAUUUGAGAGGGGCUGCUCCUAGUACGAGAGGACCGGAGUGGACGAACCUCUGGUGUUCCGGUUGUCACGCCAGUGGCAUUGCCGGGUAGCUAUGUUCGGAAGCGAUAACCGCUGAAAGCAUCUAAGCGGGAAGCGCGCCUCAAGAUGAGAUCUCCCGGGACACAAGUCCCCUAAAGGAACCAUGUAGACUACGUGGUUGAUAGGUCAGG